UAAAGCAAAAAAAAUUCCGGACACUCGUAAAGACUGUAGUUUACAAGGCAGAGGAGAGCUCAAAGAAAGCCUCUGGGAUGUUGAAGUUAGGCUCCAAAAACACAACUCUAAGGGCAGAGGAAACCAGCUGUAAACACAGCAUUGACAUGUCACCAUCUUUUAAGUUGAUAUGGUGAACGUGUCAGCAACAAAAACUAUAGCCCCGUCUGCUCUGCUGUGGUUCUUGUCCUGUUGGCCUCCUCUACACUCCAGAUUCCCUUCGGACCAGCUCGGCUUCGUUUCCCUCCGUGGAGGUCUGGCUCUGCGAGACAAAUCUUGACAUAAAAUGUAUUAAAACCCUUUGAAAGGGCAGAACAUAUGGCAUGACGUCCAUUUGAAUGAGCAUAGCACCUGUUGUCUAUUCCAUCAGUAUUCUCCAUUGCUCGCAAAUAAAAUCUCCUUGCUCUUGGAGUCUUUGAGAGAAUGACCCUACACAAUUAAGAAUAUGUCCUGCUCCUUUCAUACAUGGGUAAACCUUGAAAGAGGUAGUUAUUCCUCUGCUGUUUCCUUUUUCUUUCUUUUUUAAGUUUCGUAUUGAUUAAUCAAGAUUGUCUUGUGUGAAUGUUGGACUUGUUUUUAUGUUGAUGUUCUGUUUUCAUGUUGUUUCUAUCUUUCAUUCUUUUAUCUGUUAUUUUAUUGUAAGGUGAGUGUGGGUUACUUGAAAGGCGUCUCCAAGUGAAAUGUAUUAUUAUUAUUAUUAUCCUCACAGCCCUUCCUUUUACUGUCGCUCUGCACGUCUCUGGCUGAUGAGUGACAAACAUGUUGUUGAUGGUUCACCUUCAAACACAGAGGGACUCUUCAGUGUGUUGAGAAAACGAGCCAUGAAUAAUGAAAUAAUAAUAAUGUAAUUAAAAUGUAAUGUAAUUGA